rnacentral:misc_RNA from 1 species
AGCAUUGCAUUUUGUGAAGUUCCCAGUUUUGGUGUCAAAUGACAGCUCCGCACCAAGUGAGGCAACAUUGGUUCCAAUGACACCAGAGAAGUUAACAAUAGGGUUAGGUGUCAACCCAAUACUUGAACUUACAGCUGCAUAGUCAUGCAGAUACUGAAUCUCCACCUUGCCAGACCUUUGAUCUGGAACUUUGAAGCUCAAAAUUGCCUUCAGCCCAGGAGUAGGUUCAUCAAAUGUAAUGGUUGUAAAAAGAUUAGAGUCUGUGUCCACUUUGACAUCAGUAGUGAUAUUCUUUUUCUUAAGCUGAGUAUUGACAUCAUGACAUCAGCCAGAAACAGCUCACCUUUCUUUAAACCUGUGGAUGUAAUGGCAACUCCAGUAGGAGAGUAGGUAGUGAUGGUGAACUUGUAGUCAGUCUGGUAAUCCUUGUACAGAAGAUCUCUGGCUUUCUUCCCGAUUUCAGUAUAGAGACCAGGACCCUUUCCCAUGAUUAUUCUGAGCAAAUAUUAAAAUACAACCGCAAAAUGAGAGAGACGUUGAGCUUGAGAAUCUUGGGGCUUUGGUAGUUCUUUUAUAGGAACCGAAAAACCCUAAUUUC